CAAGACACAACAACAACAAUGAACAACAUCAUCAUCCUCAUCUGGACUCUCACACUGUUUGCUCAAGAGAGUAGAGGACAGAUCACUGUAACUCAGAGUCCAUCAAUAACAGCAGCUCAACCAGGACAAGAAGUCAGAAUAAACUGUAAAACCAGCAGUAAUGUGUAUAGUGGUAAUUAUUUAGCCUGGUAUUUACAGAAACCUGGAGAAGCUCCUAAACUCCUCAUAUAUUAUGCAACAACCCGUUACACUGGAACUCCAUCUAGAUUCAGUGGCAGUGGAUCUUACAGUGAUUUCACUCUGACCAUCAGUGGAGUCCAGACUGAAGAUACAGGACAUUAUUACUGUCAGAGUUACCACUACAUCAACAGUAAAGAUGUGUUCACAUAGUGAUAAAGAGUCGUACAAAAACCUCCAUCAGUCAGAGUCACAGUGAUUGCACUGAUACAGCUGAGAGAUACUGCAGCUGCUGAUGGAUGACAACACAAAUAUUAUAGCAAAAAUUAGAGAGAUUUAAUACAAUAUUUAUUUAUUUAUUAUCUUACCACACUUAUUUAAUAGGUGUAUACAGUACAUUAUAUCAUCAAUCAUUAAUUGUGUGAUCAUUGUAAAGUGCAGCCAGUAUUUAUUCGUCUUAUUCAUCUAAAUCAACGAAUAGAAGAACUAUCAAACAGAUCACACACCGAGGCCUGAUGUGACUCACAUGACAGUUUGGACUUCAAAAACAAUUAAUGAAUUGGAAAA